UCUCUGGAGUGCCCGUCGGUAAAGACCUCGAGCCGAUGCUUAUUACCCUGGAGGGUUUCUCUCACCGUUGUGCGCAAGUCCGGCUUGACCGGAAAGCCUAAUUCAGUGAUCGAACCCCCCACCUUGAACCUCGGGUUCAAGGGCUUUUCCGACAUCCGGCACUUCAGUG
rnacentral:other from 1 species